UACAGAGACUGCAAGCGUUAUUCGGAUUCACUGGGCGUAAAGGGUGCGCAGGCGGCCGUGUGUGUCAGGUGUGAAAGCCCGGGGCUUAACCCCGGAAUUGCGCCUGAAACUACAUGGCUAGAGCAUUGGAGAGGGUAGCAGAAUUCAUGGUGUAGCAGUGAAAUGCGUAGAUAUCAUGAGGAAUACCAGAGGCGAAGGCGGCUACCUGGACAAUUGCUGACGCUCAGGCACGAAAGUGUGGGGAUCAAAC
rnacentral:rRNA from 1 species